UACGUAGGCAGCAAGCGUUGUUCGGAAUUACUGGGCGUAAAGAGUGUGUAGGUGGUGUCGUAAGUUUGGUGUGAAAUCUCCCGGCUUAACUGGGAGGGUGCGCCGAAGACUGCGAUGCUGGAGUAUGGGAGAGGAAAGCGGAAUUCCUGGUGUAGCGGUGAAAUGCGUAGAUAUCAGGAGGAACACCGGCGGCGAAGGCGGCCCUCUGGAUCGUUGCUGACGCUGAGACGCGAAAGCGUGGGGAGCAAACAGG
rnacentral:rRNA from 1 species